rnacentral:lncRNA from 1 species
GUGCUUUACCGGUGGUUCUGCUUGCUCAGAUAGUUUUUUCUUUUAUCCGUGUAUUUUCCAAUCGGAUUGUAUACUUUCACUAAUUAUCGUUUAUUCUUCCGAUUUGGAUGUUUAUUAAUGGAUUUUAGGUUUCUGAUUUAGAUACCAGAUUCUGGAUCUUACCAGAUUUGGCUUCUGGUUUCUUAGAUGGCUGUUAUCCGUUUGAAAUCCGUUUUGAAUGACUAUGGUUAUUAUCUAUCUCUUAUUGUUCAGUUACGGAUGUUCGUUGCGGGAACUGAUUUGGUCCAUCAGCAAAUUCCUCUUCCGGAAUCUAUAUUGAUUGUCCCGAUCUGGAUGUCCCUAUGUUCUCUUUCAAUCUUUCCUAUUGUAAAAAUUUGGUUGGAUUUAUUAUGUUACCCACUUGAUUUGUUGUUUUUGUUGCCGGAGUAUCUCGCCGAUUUUGCAGGUGGAGCCCACGUGAGCAUGACAGAUCUGUGAUGGAGAUGACUUGUGGGGCCCACACGUUUUCAAAAUUUAAUGUUGUUGCAUCUGCUAGUACUUCUAGCGGACCAGGAAGUACUAAAUAUAUUUAAUGUUGUUGUUGUUGGGGCAUAAUGGGCC